GACGAACGCUGGCGGCGUGCUUAACACAUGCAAGUCGAACGGGCUCUGUCUGGCUGUGUGCUGGGUGGGGUUAGUGGCGAACGGGUGAGUAAUACGUGAGUAACCUGCCCUCUUCUUUGGGAUAAGCCUUGGAAACGGGGUCUAAUACUGGAUAUUCCUGUCUGGUCGCAUGGCUGGGUGGGGAAAGUUUUUUUCGGUGGGUGAUGGGCUCGCGGCCUAUCAGCUUGUUGGUGGGGUGAUGGCCUACCAAGGCGUCGACGGGUAGCCGGCCUGAGAGGGUGAACGGCGACACUGGGACUGGGAUACGGCCCAGACUCCUACGGGAGGCAGCAGUGGGGGAUAUUGCACAAUGAGCGCGAGCCUGAUGCAGCGACGCCGCGUGGGGGAUUACGGCUUUCGGGUUGUAAGCCUCUUUCGUCGGGGGACAAGGCUCUGCUUGGUGGUGGGGUUGAGGGUACCCGGUGAAGAAGCGCCGGCUAACUACGUG
rnacentral:rRNA from 1 species